AACGCAUAUGGCACCCGAGACUUCGGUCGAGGGUAUGUCUGUCUCAGAGUCGGCGUAAAAACAUCCCCAAAGGAAUAGGGAGAACACACGUUGUGGUGUUGUCCCUUGUCCGGCGGGGGAGCUGGCCCUCCCGGGCUUCGCUGCCCGGGUCGGCUGAAGGGUAGAGACGGGGGACCGCACGCGCGGACAGCCACGAUUUUGGUGGGAGGACCCAGCGUCCGCAUCAUCGAUCGAGGCCGUCCUGUCGAAAGCGUCGGUAGAAGUAGAAGCCCCCGCCCUCGCAGGAGAAAGCUUAACUUUCUAGUUUUCCGACCUGAGAUCAGGCAAGAUCACCCGCUGAACUUAA
rnacentral:misc_RNA from 1 species